CCGCAGACCAAACUCACUGCUACAUUGUACUCAGGCACGGAACCCAUGCUCACGCUUUUCGACCGUCUUGUCGUCAGCAAACAAGGACCCUGACGAAAAAGCAGAUUACUGGCACUUGAGAAGCCCCAGCCCUUCCAGUGACCGUCCCACCCAAAACUCUGAAGCCUCCUAGGUACUGAAGCAGCUGGAGGAUCACUGACUGAGGGCAUCUUGCUACCUAAAGGAUCUCUGCUGCAUCUGGGAAGGGAUGUCUAAGGAGGAAAUGAUCAACUGAGCUCAAUCUGCAUGCUUCCAAGAAGGAUGUGAAAGCUUCUGA